rnacentral:rRNA from 1 species
UACGGAGGGUGCAAGCGUUAUCCGGAUUCACUGGGUUUAAAGGGUGCGUAGGUGGGCAGGUAAGUCAGUGGUGAAAUCUCCGAGCUUAACUCGGAAACUGCCGUUGAUACUAUUUGUCUUGAAUAUUGUGAAGGUAAGCGGAAUAUGUCAUGUAGCGGUGAAAUGCUUAGAUAUGACAUAGAACACCAAUUGCGAAGGCAGCUUACUACACAACGAUUGACGCUGAGGCACGAAAGCGUGGGGAUCAAACAGG